AAAACUGGGGGGGAGCUGGCAUUCUUGGUGUUGGAAGUAUUCAUUUUACCAAAAAGAGGAGGGGCCCCCCGGGAUGGUGAAUUCCCCCUUCCCAAAAAAGGCCGGGGCCCCCCCCCUUUAAGAUUAAAUUAUUUUUAAAAAAGGGGGGGCCCCCUUUUUUUUAAAAUUUUUAAUUUUCUCAAUAAAGGGGGGGGUCCAUUUUUUAAAUUUUUAACAACCCCCCUCUCCAACCAAAAAUCCUUUUUUUUCUUAUUUAAAUCCCUUAACUAAUCCAAAUUGCAGAAUUCAGUUAAUCUUCUAAUCUUUAAACGCACAUUGCACCCUGUGGAAUUCCCCAAUCUUUGAAUUUUCCAGCCUCAUUUAACCACUCACGCCUGGCGUCCUAUUUGGGCACCCUGACUCCCCGCCCCCAAAAACUACCGGAGUUUCUUUUGUUUUCUAAGCUUAAAAUAUCCCCCCCCAAUGGGGGGGGGGCCCGUGCCCCCCCUACCCCUAAUUUUCGACCGGCCGGCCUCGAUCAGGUAGGGUUUCCCGUUGAACUAAACAAAACCAAAAACCGAAUAAAUCCCCCCAUUCUUCAUAGACAACUUGCAACACGCCUAAAGAGCAUUCCUUGUUUGUUUUGCGUUACCCGGAAAUCGCUCUGUGCCACUCCCAUUUCGCUUCUGACUCAAAUAAGAAGCAACACCCCAUAACUUUGCAUAUCAAUAGCCAGAGAAACACAGGCAACUAGCAGAUUUAUUGUUCUCAAAGAGAGCAACAAGACCGCAUAACUCAGACUAUCAGUAGCGGAAGAAGCGCAUCACUCUCCUGUAUACUAGAUCUGUCCCGAGUCGUAUCGUGAUCUCUGUGAUAGAGAGGUGUG
rnacentral:misc_RNA from 1 species